ACCGAUCAGGUAAGGCGUGGGAUUUCUCACCAGGGAUGUCUCCCCACUGGCCUUCCUCAGGUAACCGUUUCUCCCGGUUGGUCAUCUUCCCGAAUUCUAGAAGGGAACAGGUAAUCAAGGGAGAAAGGAAAACAGGCACAAGGCUCUUGAUAAGCAUUAUUCUGUAAUUUGUGCUUUGGUCUUUUUACUGUCUCUUCUGGAACCCACUGUUUCUUAGAUUACCGAUGUACUGAGCCUCACGAAUCUCCAUUUAUCACUCAGGAAAGAAGGGGGCAGGUGGAACGUGCCAUUGUGUUCUAUGACCCCCGCUCUGAGAUGCCCCAGGAGGCUCCCACAUGAAGGAGGGCCCGGGGACCCCUGACCAGAGGAGGCUGUCGGAGCAUCUCCCCAACUCCAGCGCCAGAUCCUAUCCCUCCCGGCCGUCGCCAGGUAGUCCUGUGCUGGGGGCACACUCUUCAACAAGUCUCGAGCUGCUUCCCACUUCAUUAAGGACGGGUGAGAUCCUGGCCAGGCCUCCUCCCAGGGGUCGAGGUCUCCCAGUCUAUAUGAGCUGUGAUGGUGGAUUCCGCACCUCCUCCUGAGAUGCGCGACCACCCCUGCUGGUCCCGCAGUUACCAGAACUGACAGCAGUAGUGUGUGCCCUUUAAGGAGGGUUCGAGACUCCUGCCCAAGCCACCUGUCACACCAGGACGAUGGGUGUGGAGCAGAUUUUAAUCACCAGCCAAGGGAGGCAUUAGUGAUCUGUGCUGUGGCAGAGAUCUUACUGCAGAGACGAGAACGCCUCGUGAUUUAUCGUUAACGUUGGCAUUAGAAUAAGCUCAGUGAACUUCUUUCUUCUUUUCCUUUUUUCUGUCUCUUUAUGGCACUUCCUUCCCCUUCUCUUGAAGGUUCACUGUGGUUUUGGUUGGCCUGUUUCCAUAGUGACCAGGAGAGCUGAGAGCCAGCUGGGAGUUGAAAACUUGGUAGCCAAAUGACCGCCGCUUCUCACGAGAUGGGUGACCUGUCUGCAUGUUUAGCCUGUGGAAGUCGCUAAAGGCUUACAAACCCUUGAGAGGUUCUGCAAGGCAUACAAAUAAACCAAAAAACUGUCCACCUUCUUGGAGCUCCUUGAUACAACAUUUCAGUGUAUUAAAGGCUCUGAGAAGUCCUGUGUCACCUGUUAACCCUCCGUCAACCCUGCACCUCCAAACUGCAUUGAAGCGGAAAUUCUUUCAUCUCAAACUUAAUCCAGCCUUCCACAGAAUCCGUGUUAUAGCACUACUGCCAACUUCGGGAGAGCUUACCCUCCUCCUGUUCCAAGGCAAGUGUCAUUAUUCCCUGAAAGGCACAGAACCUGUGGUCUAGUCCCAGCUCAGCCCAGGUCAUGAGCAAAGAGGUGUUCAUUCAACCAGAAUCCAGGGGCAGAUUGGGCUGAGCACAUGGAAAGACCAAGCUUGCUUUGAGGAGCAGGAAGGCUUUGACCUCGGGAGGAGGACAGCUGUGGAUUUCCAGCCUAAGCUAGCUGUUGUGCUUUUGACAAUAAGGGUGUGCUGCUGACCUCUAUUCCCAUUUUCUCGUGCCUUGAUGUCUCUCUCGCCACUGUGAAGGAUGUUUGCGAUCUAUGCACCUUAGAAUCUGGUAUAAUUGAGGUGUGAGUGGGCUUUUAAAGGUAGGGUCAAUGAGAAAAAUUUCUUCUUGUAGACCCACUUCAAAUAGUUGGUGGUGGCUUCACUGUGCUAAGAAAGGUUUUUCCAAGCUCUUUGGGGUCCGUGGAGAGGAGCUUUGUGACCCGGGGGCAGUGCCUGCCUGGGUGUGGCAGUGGUGGGAGAGCACAGCAGCGGGACUGUGGCAGAUUUCUGCUGUCUGCGCUUUUAAGGUGGUGUGCUGUGCAAUGCAACUAAGGCUGGAGGAAAAGUCUGUAACCCAGGUGGGCAGAGCUUUGGGGCACACUUAACAGGCAGCCCUUCAAACUGCAGAACCACAGUAAUAUGAUUUCCAGCCGCAGUGACAAAGGCUUGGGGUCUCCUGGCCGCCACGUUGAGACAGAAAUGGUAAUUUUCCCCAUCGUGUUGUCAAGCUCAGCGCUCCCAGCUAUUUGCCUUGAACUUUGACAACACCUUGAUAUCUUAUUUUGAUCUUUCAGAAUGAUGGGGUUUAUUCAAGUUCUGUUUUUUUUUUUAUUUUAAAGAACUAGAGUUUUAACUUCAUAUGAGUGGUACGUUUUGAGUUUGAUCCUCACCUGAGUUGGAACCCUGUUUGCUUAAGAUGUUAAUGUAAUGACAGAAAGCUGAAGAAUCCUUGUUACUUAACAGUGGUCUGUCUGCUGUUUAAAGUAUACAGAGGUUAUCUUAGCACGUUGCUUGUGUGUAUGGCUCAAUCUGUAUUUCUAACAUCCUGCUGCUUUUAGAAAUCUAGACUGUCAGGUGGUAGGUCUAGGUCCUUCUAGGUCUUAAUCUGAGCAGAAAACUUCAUGUGUGUAUUUUUAUUCUGAAUGCCCUUCCCUUUGCCCCUUAAUCGCAAGUUGGCCACAUGGCGACUUAGUGGGAACUGCAGAAGUCAGCCCUAAAGGGUGUUCAGUGCUGAUGGCAGCCCAGAUGCCCAAGGGAAGUGGCGUCCCUCGCAGGCCUGGGUCCCCCUCUUGAGUUCAGGUGAGUUAAGGGCCUGGCCCCUAAGCCAGUAGGGACCUUUGGGCGACAGGCGGCCAUGUAGGAAGUGAAAGGACUCCACUCCCACCCCUUGUAGACCUAGGAGCCCCCUCCUCCUCUUACCCUCUCCUCCAUAGCAUGCAGCUUGGCCAGCAUCUCACUGAGCUUGUGGCUCUCAGGUCCUCUGGUUAGAAUCUGAGACCCCUGUUCCUAAACCUGGAGGGGCAGUUCCAGCCAUGUGGUGUGGACAUCCUUGCUGUCUCCAUGGAUUCUGAGCAUCUUCAGAGGGGAAGAGGCCAUGUCCCUGACCUCCAGGACAAACCUCUGAAAUGUAGGGCUGCUCUCCAGGGGUUUGGAGAGUCCGCCCCCCGGGGCCCCCAAACCCGGCAAGUUUUAAAAGUUUUGAAAUGUUUUGAUACUUUUUUAUACCAUUUGCUGAUAACCAUUUUGUAGUUGCCUGCCGGGGUUUUCAUUUUCCAUCUCCCCACCACCACCCCUCCUGAGGUCAGCACCAGGGUCUUGUCAUAACCGCCUCCCAUGGACAUGACUCUCUGCCAUGGCUGUAAUCUGAUCCAUGUUUUUGAGUUGUAUGAGGUCACACAUAGCCCAGGAAUGUGACUGUCUUGGGCCCCAGCUGAGCAAAAGGGCAGUGUGUGUGAUGAGGAUGCGCUAACACGCUGAGACGUUGAACAUUUCUUCCAAAGCUCCUACCUCAGCAGAGUGUGCAGAGUCGAAAAGAUCCCUGAGGGCCGAUCCAUCUGUCACCUUUCCAACAUGGGUCAUUUUUCAACCCAGGGCCUGGCUGGGUCUUGAGUCACUCUUGUCCAUCCACCCUUUCUUUUAUGAAGACACAUUAACAUGAAAUCCAACAAAAGCUGUAACCUAAACCAUCCUGCACUUUACAGAGUUUUGGAGAUCGCUUUUUUUCUUCAUUUUUACACGGGUAGAAUUUGUGGCUUUGCAGGGUGUUCAGUUCAGUGGUCUCAAGAAAUUGUAGUUUGGUUGCCUUAGAAGAAUUAAUGAAUGUACAAAUUUGGGGGAGUGGGGCCGGAGGAGAAAAACCUUCCUGUGUCAGUUUUCUUUGAGAAAAGGAACUCUACUUUUCCAAGUUACUCGAGCCGUCUUUACAGGUUUGCUUGUGAUGGAAGGAAAAAGUCCUUUGGAUCAACUGAAAUCCAUCAUUACUACCAGCUCCCUUGCAGAAUUAGAUCUUUGAUGAUUAAGUAUUGAUAAUUCAUUGAGUAUGUUCUGGCUGUUAAUGUUACUGAUGCCUGUUAUAAUGUGUGUGCUAUUUUUUUGAUUUGUUGCUUUUGUAUUGUAACUGUAUGACACCCAAAGCUUUUUUGUUUCUUAUCUCUUCUUAGUUAAUUUCCUGCAUGUUGAAUUUUUUUCCCCUUCUGUUUAUAACUCCAUGAAGUAUUCAAUUCUCGAAACACAUUAAAAAUGACUUGCCUGCUAGGGUAUGGCUUAUUUUAUAAUUAAA